AUACGUAGGGCGCAAGCGUUAUCCGGAAUUAUUGGGCGUAAAGAGCUCGUAGGCGGUUUGUCGCGUCUGCCGUGAAAGUCCGGGGCUCAACUCCGGAUCUGCGGUGGGUACGGGCAGACUAGAGUGAUGUAGGGGAGACUGGAAUUCCUGGUGUAGCGGUGAAAUGCGCAGAUAUCAGGAGGAACACCGAUGGCGGAGGCAGGUCUCUGGGCAUUAACUGACGCUGAGGAGCGAAAGCAUGGGGAGCGAACAGGAUUAGAUACCCUGGUAGUCCAUGCCGUAAACGUUGGGCACUAGGUGUGGGGGACAUUCCACGUUUUCCGCGCCGUAGCUAACGCAUUAAGUGCCCCGCCUGGGGAGUACGGCCGCAAGGCUAAAACUCAAAGGAAUUGACGGGGGCCCGCACAAGCGGCGGAGCAUGCGGAUUAAUUCGAUGCAACGCGAAGAACCUUACCAAGGCUUGACAUGGACCGGACCGCCGCAGAGAUGUGGUUUCCCCUUUGGGGCUGGUUCACAGGUGGUGCAUGGUUGUCGUCAGCUCGUGUCGUGAGAUGUUGGGUUAAGUCCCGCAACGAGCGCAACCCUCGUUCUAUGUUGCCAGCACGUGAUGGUGGGGACUCAUAGGAGACUGCCGGGGUCAACUCGGAGGAAGGUGGGGACGACGUCAAAUCAUCAUGCCCCUUAUGUCUUGGGCUUCACGCAUGCUACAAUGGCCGGUACAAAGGGUUGCGAUACUGUGAGGUGGAGCUAAUCCCAAAAAGCCGGUCUCAGUUCGGAUUGGGGUCUGCAACUCGACCCCAUGAAGUCGGAGUCGCUAGUAAUCGCAGAUCAGCAACGCUGCGGUGAAUACGUUCCCGG
rnacentral:rRNA from 1 species